rnacentral:rRNA from 1 species
UACGGGGGGGGCAAGCGUUGUUCGGAAUUACUGGGCGUAAAGGGCUCGUAGGCGGCCAACUAAGUCGGACGUGAAAUCCCUCGGCUUAACCGGGGAACUGCGUCCGAUACUGGAUGGCUUGAGUGUGGGAGAGGGAUGCGGAAUUCCAGGUGUAGCGGUGAAAUGCGUAGAUAUCUGGAGGAACACCGGUGGCGAAGGCGGCAUCCUGGACCGAUACUGACGCUGAGGAGCGAAAGCGUGGGGAGCGAACAGG